rnacentral:rRNA from 1 species
CGGCGCAGGGAGAGUAACGCGUGGAUAUCUGCCCUCGGCUCCAGAAUAGCUACGGGAAACUGUAGGUAAUGCUGGAUAAUAUCUCCGGAUCAAAGGUGUGAUUCCGGCCGAGGAUGAGUCCGCGUCCUAUUAGAUUGUUGGUGGGGUAAUGGCCUACCAAGUCGAAGAUGGGUACCGGGUGUGAGAGCAUGGCCCGGCUCACUGGGACUGAGACACUGCCAGACGUCUACGGACGGCUGCAGUCGAGAAUCUUCCGCAAUGGGCGCAAGCCUGACGGAGCGACGCCGCGUGCGGGAUGAAGGCCUUCGGGUUGUAAACCGCUGUCAGUUGGGAGGAAAUGCUAUGGGGUUCUCUCCAUAGUUUGACCGAUCUUCAGAGGAAGUACGGGCUAAGUACGUGCCAGCAGCCGCGGUAACACGUACCGUACGAACGUUAUUCGGAAUCACUGGGCUUAAAGAGUCCGUAGGCGGCUAUGUAGGUCAGGUGUGAAAUCCCACGGCUCAACCGUGAACUGCGCUUGAAACCAUAUGGCUAGAGGGAGAUAGAGGAAAGCGGAACUGAUGGUGGAGCGGUGAAAUGCGUUGAUAUCAUCAGGAACACCGGUGGCGAAAGCGGCUUUCUGGGUCUCUUCUAACGCUGAGGGACGAAAGCUAGGGGAGCGAACGGGAUUAGAUACCCCGGUAGUCCUAGCUGUAAA